rnacentral:pre_miRNA from 1 species
UGCGCAAUUGCUGGAUCAUAUGGUAAGAGUAUGUCUAGUUUUUUAAGAAACUGCCAAACUGUUUUCCAAAGUGGCUGUAGCAUUUUGCAUUCUCACUAGCAAU